rnacentral:rRNA from 1 species
ACUCCUACGGGAGGCAGCAGUGGGGAAUAUUGCACAAUGGGCGCAAGCCUGAUGCAGCCAUGCCGCGUGUGUGAAGAAGGCCUUCGGGUUGUAAAGCACUUUCAGUCGUGAGGAAGGUGGUGUAGUUAAUAGCUGCAUCAUUUGACGUUAGCGACAGAAGAAGCACCGGCUAACUCCGUGCCAGCAGCCGCGGUAAUACGGAGGGUGCGAGCGUUAAUCGGAAUUACUGGGCGUAAAGCGCAUGCAGGUGGUUUGUUAAGUCAGAUGUGAAAGCCCGGGGCUCAACCUCGGAAUAGCAUUUGAAACUGGCAGACUAGAGUACUGUAGAGGGGGUAGAAUUUCAGGUGUAGCGGUGAAAUGCGUAGAGAUCUGAAGGAAUACCGGUGGCGAAGGCGGCCCCCUGGACAGAUACUGACACUCAGAUGCGAAAGCGUGGGGAGCGAAACAGGAUUAGAUACCCUGGUAGGACAGUG